rnacentral:rRNA from 1 species
ACGAACGCUGGCGGCGUGCUUAACACAUGCAAGUCGAACGGAAAGGCCCUGCUUUUGUGGGGUUCUCGAGUGGCGAACGGGGGAGUGACACAUGAGUAACCUGCCCUUGUCUUUGGGAUAACUUCAGGAAACUGGGGCUAAUACCGGAUAGGAGCUCCUGCUGCAUGGUGGGGGUUGGAAAGUUUCGGCGGUUGGGGAUGGACUCGCGGCUUCUCCGCUUGUUGGUGGGGUAGUGGCUUACCAAGGCUUUGACGGGUAGCCGGCCUGAGAGGGUGACCGGGCACAUUGGGACUGAGAUACGGACCAGACUCCUACGGGAGGCAGCAGUGGGGAAUAUUGCACAAUGGGCGGAAGCCUGAUGCAGCAACGCCGCGUGCGGGAUGACGGCCUUCGGGUUGUAAACCGCUGUCGCCUGUGACGAAGCGUGAGUGACGGUAAUGGGUAAAGAAGCACCGGCUAACUACGUG